CCGCGAUGUCAGUCUCAUCUACCUAAUACUCUGGGAACUGAGCUUUACCUGGCAUCUUAGCACAGUAGGAUCUAAUAGCUAUUUAGCCACCUAAUUUGGUUUCAAGCUACCUCACCUCGGCAUUAUUCCCCUCUACUAGUUUUUGGGAAGGGCUACAGGGACUUAUGCACUAUUAGCUUUCCUCUUUCUCUAUCUCAUGGAUUUUUUGCUGGAGACAUCAUGGGAAGGUAAGGUAAGUAGAUGCUAGUGUUGGCUAGCAUGCCCACAGAAUAGUCGCUUUAGGAAUCC